rnacentral:rRNA from 1 species
AUGAUUAUUUCUCUGCUAGGGAGGCGGUCUGAUAUAAUCACCACCAAAUUCCCUUUCCUUCCAGAAAUUGUAGCUCAGAUUCUAUGUGUCAUGGUCUCAGAAGGUGUGAUCGACAAAGAGAAGUUUGAUUCUUUUUAUGGGCUAAUGCAUGAACCUUCGCUCGAAGAGCUGAGAGAGAUCAUCCAAGAGGAGGGUUCCUUUUCAAUCAGGGAGAUGCGGGAGCAUGACCCUAGAACCGAUAUAAACAAGACUCUCAGCACCCCAGGCAUAUUCGUGGGAUUUCUGAGAUCUUUGUUUGAGCCGGUAAUAGUCCAACAUUUUGGAUAUGUCAUGGAUGAAUUCGUGAGGACCGUGGAGCGGCGGUAUAUCCUAGAGGGAAGCUUGCAAGAGGAGUGUGCCAAGUGCCCUUAUGCUAUGCUGGUCAUAUCCCUCGCAAAGGCAUGA